AGCUCCAUAUGGCUGGCAAACUGAAACUGUGCUUUACUGGCAGCAGCGGAGGGCUGCAAACACCCUGCUGUCAAGAAAACAUGCUCUUUUAUUGACACACAGGCCCAGCUCCAAAAUAAAGUUACUGAGGUUGAUAUAUACUGAACAUUAUUUAAUAAGUUACUUAAUUUAUGUUCGUUUCAUUUUAGUAUAUAUAUUUUUGGAGACACAUUAUUUUAAGCUUAUUAACUAGCUUAUUAAGGUAGUUGAAUUUAGGUAUCGAGUAGAAUUAUGAAUGUAGUAUAAAAUCAUAGAAAAUAUGUACUUUAUACGUGCUAAUAAAAAAGCCAAUAUUUUAAUAACAUGCUAAGCAACUAGUCAACAGUGAGGAUACUGAUUGAGGAUUUUUGUUUGUCCAAUUUUGAUGCAUUUCUUGAUUCCUUCACAUUUUAUUUAAUUUUGUAUGGUCAUUAUUUUAUAUUUAUUAUUUUAUUUGAGCCUACUUUUAUGUAUUUGCUUUGUACUUCUACAGUUUUGUUGAUUUAUUAAAAUAAAUUGUUAA
rnacentral:lncRNA from 1 species